GUCCUUCAAGGCAACCAGCAAAAGAGGCUCUUUCCUCGUGUCGCCACAGGGUGGCGCUGUGACACUAACCUCCUCUCCACUCCCGCCGGCUUCCAGCUGGCGCUGCGGCAGGAAACCGGUCCCCUCCAGACUGCCAAGGCUUGCGUGUCGGGUUACCAAGAGCGACCGGGCAGCCAGACACCAUCCAAGCAUUCAUCCGGCAGAUAAUGAGGAAACAGGCCCCAGCUUUGUACCCAUCUGUAAGGCCAAAAGAAGUUCCUGAAUCUGCACCCAGUGCUAAGGGUUCCGUGCUAACCAGCUGACGCUGGCCACCGUGCCAUACUCUUGCUGGCGAUGACCACAGCCUUGAGUCAUUCUCCUUUCUCAGUCUUGGCCCAAGAAUGUCACCAUUCCUAGUCACUUGACACCACAACGGGUAAUCGGUGUUGGUUAGAAACCUCCUGAGAUGGGGCAGGCAGCUCCACUGCCUUUUUCCUCCUGCAACUUAACCACAAUAAAAAGAACUAACAGUGGGGAGAAUGAGCAAAACGUUUUAAAGGAUUUGAUAUCCUGAGAGAGCUCCACUUUGAAACAGCGAGAUGGCGCUCGAUGCCGACCAGAGCAGACGAAGCCCGUCGGAUCCUGACAACACACGGUGCUGAGGACCCGCAGCAGCAGGGAUGCUCUCACAUCCUGGGGACUUGGAAUGACGCAGCCACGUUGGAAGACUGCUUGGCAGCCUCUUAAGAAGCCAAAUGUGCUGCUAUCAUGCGAGCCAUCUUGCUCCAUGGUAUUGACCGAAGAGCUGAAGAGCACACACAUACCCACAUGCUGACGUUUACCAACGCUUUACUCAUAACUACAGAAAUGUGGAAGCAACCUCAGUGUUUCUCCAGUGAUCCGACAAGACCACGGGACAUUUCAGCACCAAAGGACACCAGCAAGACAAGCAAGACAGAGGAAACAUGUCGACAUCUGUUACCAAGUGGAAAGGCCGCGUGACUCCAACGGACAGUCCAGAAACAGGCAACACUCGGAAGGAGUGGGAGGAAGAUGAGUGGUUGGCAGAGGUCAGAGGUCAGAGGUCGGAGGGAUGAGUAGGCAGAGCACGGAGGAUCUGAGGCCAUGAAAAUGUUCCUCAGGAUCUACAGUGCUGGGUGUGUAGCAUCACUGGAAACUGGCUCUGGGUCAGCCUCAGUGGGAGCUCACUGGUCACAGCCACUGUGCCGCCUGGGUACUCUGGGUGCCCAUGUGGAACAGGGGCCCCUGAGAAUGCUAUACUUUCCAUUCCAUCUUGCUCUGAACCUAAUGCUGCUCUAAAAAUCUGUUCAAAUGUGCAUGGUGCGGUGGUGUGGGAGAAUUCGAGGCCAGACUCUGCCAUGUAGCAAGUUUGAGAUCACCCGUUACUAUGUGAGACCCUGUCUCGAAAGGAAAAAACCAAAGCCGGGUGUGGUGGCUCACACCGGUGAUCCCAGAAGUUGGAAGACAAAGGCAAGACAAUUGCCAAAGUUGGAGGAAGGCAUCCUGAGCUACAUAGUGAGUUCCAGGCCAGUCGGAGCUAAAGAGAUGUACCCUGCGUCAAAAAACAGAAAAGCGAAACAUCUCCCAAACUAAGUAAAUAAAUAUAAAGUCAUGAUA